rnacentral:misc_RNA from 1 species
ACGAAUAUAGUAUAGAAUAGUAUAUAUGUAUACUUGUGUGCAUAUGAAGUAACGGCUGUUUGCGUGCCAGUGCGGAGGAAGCAGCGCAGGUGCAGACGAGAAUGUUUCGCAUUCCGUGUCUGUAAACGAUUAUUUAAUUUACCGACAUUUAGUUUAGAAAUGAACAUAAGAGUGAGAAGUGCGUGCCGGUGACAAGAUCGAAAUCCAUUAUAUUAUACAUAGAUAUAUAUACAUAUAUACAAUGUGCUAUAAUUUGUGUACAAACCAAGGUAUAGCAUUAAUCUGAUCAGCAUUAUAUAUGUUAUUUUGAUACUUUAACUGUGCAAACUUAACGUGCGCUCAGCUGUUAUCAGCUGCAACAAUAAAAUCUAAUAAUAACAAAAAAACCCAAAGAAUAAAAACACACUAACAAAAUGUGUUGCAUGCGCUAUCUGACGGAGACUCAUUUACGGGGCUUCGAGCGUUACAAGUACAACAGUAUAGACACCAGCUUUCUGAGUGUCUAUGUAAUGCACCCCUUCUGGAAUACCUGCGUAAAAUGUUUACCCAUGUGGCUGGCGCCCAAUGUGCUGACAUUUGUCGGUUUUCUCAUGACCGUGGUGAACUUUAUUCUGAUAUCUUACUACGACUGGGAUUUCACUGCAGCCAAUGACAAGGAGGUGGGCAACACAGUGCCUGGCUGGGUGUGGACGGUAGCAGCGAUAAACAUACUUAUCUACUACAAUUUGGAUGGCAUGGAUGGCAAACAGGCGCGUCGAACGGGAACAAGUGGUCCUUUGGGUGAGCUCUUUGAUCAUGGACUGGACUCCUAUUCGGCGGCGCUUAUACCCAUCUAUAUCUUCUCAUUGUUUGGCACAAAUGAUCUGCCGCCAAUACGCAUGUUUUUUGUCAUUUGGAACGUGUUUCUCAAUUUCUAUUUUACGCACGUCGAAAAGUAUAACACGGGCGUUAUGUUCUUGCCCUGGGGUUAUGACUUUACCAUGUGGGGCGUCAGUCUAAUGCUGUUUGUGGCCACUUUGGUGGGUCCCGAAAUUUAUCGGUCCAGCUUUUAUGGUAUUACUGUGGCGAAUGUGUUCGAAGUGGGUCUAAUUGGUUCCGGCAUUGUGUCCAGUCAUCCUAUCAUCAUUAGGAACAUUUAUCUCUCGUACAAGAAUAAGACGGGCAAGAUGCGUCCCAUGAUGGAGAUGUUGCGUCCAUUUUUCGCAUUCGUUUGGCUCCUGAUUAUCACAGUGAUUUGGUCUUUCUUUUCACGGAACAAUGUCAUCAACUUGGAACCGCGUAUCCUCUGGAUUCUCUAUGGCACUAUAUUCUCAAAUAUUGCUUGCCGUCUGAUAGUGGCCCAAAUGUCGGACACCCGCUGCGAUGGCUUUAAUAUACUUAUGUGGCCAUUGGCUGCCACGGUUGGAGUCUGCUGUUUCCCCUGGUAUGAGCAUGUUUUCGGUAUGGAUCUUACACCUCAGGGAGAACGCUGGAUCGUCCAUGGUCUAACAAUAUUCGCCACAUUGGCUCACUGGCAUUAUGGCUACGGACUGGUCUCGGAAAUGUGUAAUCAUUUUAAUAUCAGUUGCUUCAAAGUAAGAAAAUCUCGCAGCAAUACCACAUUCCAGAAAAAUAACAAAUCGUUGAAAAGCCAUUGAAACUAAUUACAUACUAACUACAACCAAGAAACCAACCAGAACCAAAAUCAACGAAAUAAUCAAAAAACCAAAAAGGGGUGUCCAUUUGCUAUGUGAUAUAUAUAUUGUGGGUGUUACAAAAUUCCCUUUCGCCUCGCCUCGCCUCGUUCUGGUCUAAGUUUAAGUGAUCCAUACUCAAUUUAUAAGCUUCCAUGCGCCGCAUAACGUAAUGAUAACAAAGAAGCCUGUCAACUCGGUGCAGGAGCUGAAUGAAACCGAUGCCACAAAACGCA